AUACGGAGGGUGCAAGCGUUACUCGGAAUCACUGGGCGUAAAGCGCGCGCAGGCGGGCUGAUAAGUUGGAUGUGAAAGCCUACGGCUCAACCGUAGAACUACAUCCAAAACUGUCAGUCUAGAGUGUGGGAGAGGAAGAUGGAAUUAGUUGUGUAGGGGUAAAAUCCGUAGAGAUAACUAGGAAUACCAAAAGCGAAGGCAAUCUUCUGGAACACUACUGACGCUGAGGCGCGAAGGCGUGGGGAGCAAACAGGAUUAGAAACCCCAGUAGUCC
rnacentral:rRNA from 1 species